GUUUGUGUUUGUGCUUACGAGUCAAAGCUACGCCCAGGAUCAGCGCUCUCAGCUGUGCUGUAGUGCAGGUCGACACGAAAAUCUUCGAGGGUUUCAUGGAAGGAGGCAGAGGUCAUUCAUUGACAAGAACUUACAGACAAGGACACAAAAACUCAGAAAGAUGAAAUGCUGUGUCCAGAAUCUCCGUUUCCCAGCUCAGUGGUGAGGAGCAGAGGACUCUGAGAGACUUUUGAAGCUCCAUUGUGGUACCCUGGUGUCCAGUGGAUCCCAGUUUGUAAGCCAAUGAAAUAGACCUAUGUGUAGCUGCCCUGGAAUGCCUGUGGGAAGAGAUGACCCAAUACAAGCGAGAGAAUUGCCCAAUUUUGGAUUCCUCUUUCUCAAGUUGGAAAGAUAAGUGAUUAUGGAGGGUGUGCGUUGAGAUGAAGGAGCCACAAGAUGGAACCAGAUUUAAAUACCUGAGUUACAACAAGGAAAAGAGUUGCCUCGGGGAGAUACUGAACUUUCACUGUGAGCAAUCUAUUAUGAGAACAGUAAACACACGAUUAUGUGUUAAGCCAUUGAGAUUGUGUUUGUUUGUUAAUGGAAGGCAAUAUAGCCUAUGCUGACUAACAUAAAUGUCGUGGGAUUAACUGACAUCUAAGAUUUCUUCCAGCUCUAAUCACUCUCAUUCCAACCAUUAGGAUGAGUGGAGAAUGUGAACACACUGUGCACAAACAUACCUCUAUCCUGUGUGUUGCCGCUGUGGAACUUAGGAAUAGAAUACACAGUGCAUGUGUAUUCUAUUAGCAUGAAUAAAUAUUUCUAUUACUGCUUUU